rnacentral:rRNA from 1 species
AGAGUUUGAUCAUGGCUCAGGAUGAACGCUAGCUACAGGCUUAACACAUGCAAGUCGAGGGGCAGCAUGAAGGUAGCUUGCUACCUUGAUGGCGACCGGCGCACGGGUGCGUAACACGUAUCCAACCUGCCCGUUACUCGGGGAUAGCCUUUCGAAAGAAAGAUUAAUACCCGAUGGUUUCGCAUCACCGCAUGACGGUGCGAAUAAAGAUUCAUCGGUAACGGAUGGGGAUGCGUCCGAUUAGCUUGUUGGCGGGGUAACGGCCCACCAAGGCGACGACCGGUAGGGGCUCUGAGAGGAGGGUCCCCCACAUUGGAACUGAGACACGGUCCAAACUCCUACGGGAGGCAGCAGUGAGGAAUAUUGGUCAAUGGGCGAGAGCCUGAACCAGCCAAGUAGCCGUGAGGGACGACUGCCCUAUGGGUUGUAAACCUCUUUUGUUUGGGAAUAAAGUGGGCCACGCGUGGCUUUUUGUAUGUACCUUACGAAUAAGCAUCGGCUAAUUCCGUGCCAGCCGCUGC